GUCCAUCUGCCCUUGGGCUUUUGAUGAAGAAGGGCUACAACCAGCAUGCCUUCCCGCCAGAUAGCUGAGACAUGGCUGUAGGUCAUCAGCGGUGGAUGUUUUCUGAUGGCUCUGCAAUCACCAACCAGAGUGAGCUGAGCAUGGGAGGGCUGGGUGCCCGCAGGGGCACUUCGAAAAUGAAAAGCGUGUGGAUAAUCCAGGCAGUGAUUGUUUCCUUCCUUGGGCUUUCGGUGGAAUGCGGAGCUGUGUUCCAGCGAGAGCCACUGGAGCACAAGGUAAAGACCCUCUAGAAGCAGGAUCACAUGAAGGAGGAUGAGGAAACCGGCCAGGCCCUCAACAAUGAAAAUCCGAGUAACGUCCUUGAGGCAGUUUUACUAUUGUGAGCAUUGCCAUGGACCCAGAUGCAACUGCAGGAAACACGGAUUUUGGUUUAUUUCUCAUCCCAUGGAUUGGCGUCCAGGCUCUGCAACCAGCAAGUAUGAUCUCUUACUGAAUAGGAGCAGAGCCGCAGGAGAGGAAAGAUUAAGGGUAUCAAAGGAAUACAUUUUUCAUUUCACUCCUUUCUUAUUACAGUAGAUUAAAAGGAGAAAAAAAAAGAGUUUUGUUCGACAUUCAAUUUUGCAGAGAAUUAAAUAAGCCAAAAACAUUGUUCAGAAUUAGAGCACUGAAUAAAGGAUUUCAAAAACA